rnacentral:lncRNA from 1 species
AGAUUUUAGAAUAGGGGUGGAAAGAACUCUAAAUGCAGAGUCAGGACACGUCUUUGAGCACAGAGAGUUGGAAAGUGUAUUUUCGUGAAACACUUUCUAAAGAGCUCACAGAGAUUAAACAGGUCACCAAGAUUUUGGACAGGAGUUUGAAAUUUACUUAAUUAUUUCUGAGAACAGGGCUGGAGAGAAAAGAGUCUUGGUGGGGAUUUGCCACACUGGGUUUGAACAUGGCUGUACUUGUUUGGGUCCUCAAGGUAUCUUUCUCCUCUCUGUAAAAUCUGGGAAUUUAACUACUAUCAUUUCACCUCAAGAUAAAUUCAGGGACCAAGAAAAUUCCAUUGUUUCACAAAACACAUUUUCUUGGAACUUCCAGCUAAAAAGGAAGUAGAGAAAGGAGGGCAAAUAUAUUAGUCCAAAGGGAGGGUGAUGUGUUUUGUGACACUGGGUGGAGGAGGCCCUGUGAGCUGUGCUGUUGCCUGGCAUUCACUCUCUAAAUGGCUGCUCCACUGUCAUCUCCCAUGUAUGUUCCUGAUGGGGAUUUCCAGACAUGUUGCUGCCACCAGCAUCCUUCUCUCAGGGAAGGGUAGGUUCUUGUCACCAGGAGGCACAGAACCUCAAGAGAAGCACAUAUUGCGCUUUUCAGACCGGCUUAAAAAACGGCGCACCACGAGACUAUAUCCCACACCUGGCUCGGAGGGUCCUACGCCCACGGAACCAGCUCCCAGGAGAAGUCAUGGUGAUCUGUGACACGAGAGCAGCUGGUGGCCGUCACGCAGAGCCACACUGUCUCAGAGACUUCCCUGUGGCAACACCAA